rnacentral:lncRNA from 1 species
GCCGAAAUCCGAAAUUAUAUGUACAUAUAUAAAUAUUACACUAAAAUUUUAGGGUGAAGCUUAUUCAUUUUUCACACACCCCUUACUCACUUGGAUUUUUCUGCCUCUCUUCUCUUCAGUGAAGACAAAAGAGUCUCAAAGACUCAAAGUCUCAAACUUCUAAUUUUACUUUAAUUUUUAUGUCUCUUUCUUCCGCCUCUCUUCUCUUCUCUUCUGUCUUUUAUGUGUCUUUCAUGCUCUAUUCUUCAACUUUUGAUCUUAUUUUGAUUUUGUUUUUGUUUUUGUUUUGGUAGAUGGAAUAUGAGGCAGCGACACCGAAUGAACUUCAAAUUGUUAAAAAUUUUGGUGAAAUUGAUGCUUCAACUGAUUCCACAACCAACAACAUUGAAUCUCAAUCUAAGUGAAUGUUGUUUAGGAGAUGAAUGGUGUUUAUUCACUCAAUUUUUUUGAUUUUGAUUGAGUGGUGUUUUAGGAGAUGAAUGGUAUUUUAGAAGAUGAAUGGCCCCAAGUCCUAACCAAUCAUUUUGUGACAAUCCGAUCAGACAAUCCGAAAAAUUAUCCGAUCUAAAGUUUAAAAUCCGAUCUGAUCUAAUGUUAAUUCGGAUUGAAUUCGAAUUGACCUUUUCAGAAUUCAAAAUCCGAAAUCUCGAAUCCGAAAUAUGCCAAAUCCGAUCCGAUAUGAUCCGUGCACAGCCCUAACCUCAAUAAAUGAGCCGAAUUUUAAGAAGAAAAUGUUUGGUUUUUCUAUUUAACAAUGUUAUCAAAUUUCUUUUGUCUCUUUAAAUCCCGGUUUAGAUAAUUUGGUGGGUCUUCGAGAUCAAUAAUCUAUCUAAUUUGUUUGAUCGCAUAAGGCUGCGAUAGCAAUAGAAUCAGAAAAUUUUAUUUAUGCAUCGACAUGAAGAUUGUGAUUAUUCUGUGUUGAAUAUAUAUUUUACAAAAUAGUUAGAUUUCUUAUCAUUUUCAGAUAUAUUAUCAAGGAUGUUCUUUCUUUGCCUCCCUCUCAUUAUUCACUAGUCAAUCCCUCUUUCCAAUCUAUUAUUUAUCUAAAAAAGUUGCUUUUUAAUAGUAAAAGAGGGCAAAUAUGAGUUUGGAUAAUCACAAGGGCAAUAUUGUCUAAGACCAACAAGUUGGAGAAAAUAAAUUGCAACACUGAUAAUGGUGCUUUCUUAUGAGAGCAUGACUGCAUUUCAUUGGCCUUAAUUAUAAUAGGAAUUAGAAACUUGUUUGAUUUGACAACUAGAAGAUGCCGUUACUCAUUAGAUCUCGGAAAUUUCAUUAAUUAGUUCUUUAAUGGUAUGGUACAUGUCUACUCUUCUUCCAUAAUUUUCAUCUCAAAUGAUUUAUGACAUAUUCAAUGACAUAUUCAAUGACAUAUUUUGUAUGUUCAAUGACAUAUUCCAUGACAUAUUUUCUUCACUUUUUAUUCCUAUAUAAAGGCUUCGUAAUAGAUAGGAAAACACAAUUGAAGAAGAAAAUCUCUUCCUUCUCUCUAUUUACAUUACUUGUUCAUGUUUCACUAAGUUGCUUAUAUUUCUUGUUCAUAUUUAACUAAAUUGCUUUCAUUUUAUAACACGUUAUCACCACGAGUCUCUAAUAGAUUGAGAUUAUUUACUUCUAUUGGAUAUUGUCUUCUUCCCAACAUAGAUAUGCUUGAUAUGAUCUGAUGGAGCAAGAAAAAGAAAAAUAGUUAUAUUUAGUCCUGGAAAUGUGAGACUACUUC